rnacentral:rRNA from 1 species
UACGUAGGGGGCAAGCGUUGUCCGGAUUUAUUGGGCGUAAAGAGCGUGUAGGCGGCUUUACAGGUCCGUUGUGAAAACUCGAGGCUCAACCUCGAGACGCCGGUGGAAACCGUAAGGCUAGAGUCCGGAAGAGGAGAGUGGAAUUCCUGGUGUAGCGGUGAAAUGCGCAGAUAUCAGGAGGAACACCAAUAGCGAAGGCAGCUCGCUGGGACGUUACUGACACUGAGGCGCGAAAGCGUGGGGAGCGAACAGGG